GUGCACGCGUUAUUUUUAUUUAACUCGGUAAGUCAUUGAGAACAACUUAUUUUACUUAACAAAUUACUAAGAGAUACCAAUGUUUCAAUACUUGUCCUAAAAACAUUAAUGCUGUAGGCUGAUUGAAACGAUAGUUAAUGUCCACUGCUUUUAUACAGGAGAGUUGUAGUGCCUGUUAAGUGGUGGUUCUCAGUUCAGUGUUUUGAUUAAUUCUCCUUCCCAACCAGGAAAUCUGGCUGAUGCCAGAAAGAAAGAUGAAGCUCUCCCUCCCUGCAACAAAGCACUUUUUUUUUUCUUUUUCGCAUGCACCAUCUGGUCACGUGAUGCUGAUCUGUUACCCAGCAAGUUCAUUAUCAGGCAGCCAUCUUGGUAUCUAUCAUCGGAGCAGCGACUCACAGCCUACUCUAUCUGAGCUAGCCGAGCGAGAGGAGAGGCAGAGCGUUGUUAUACCAGUACCCAGACCACACCGCGCUGCAGAGACGAACAGGAGAGGGCAGGGCUGCAGCCUUUGUUGAGACAGACGCACGGUGGCUUUUCUCCUUACUCAUCUGUAAAGGGAGGAGAGCGUGAAGGGCGAGGAAUAACAAACCCAGCAUCCAUCCAGCCUCCUCUUUUCACUCUCCCUUUGUUUUCAGCACAUAGACUGGCCUUACUUUGCAUUGCCUGUCUUUCUGGAGAGAGCUGCGUUGUUUCCAUUUGUCUCUCAGCCCUCUAUUCGCUGAGUCAUCAUGGCAGACCUGAUGGCCCAGCCCGACGCCCCGACUCCCACCACCGACAAGAUCACGCAGGCCGCCCGGGAGACCAUCUACCUGUGUAACUUCCGCGUGUCGGUGGACGGAGAAUGGCUCUGUCUCAGGGAGCUGAACGACAUCUCCCUCACCCCAGACCCAGAGCAAGCCCACGAAGAUCCGAAGGACCCUAUAGCCAUCGAGCGGUUGAACCUGAUGAACAUGGCUAAGCUGAGCAUCAAGGGUCUGAUUGAGUCGGCCCUGAACCUGGGCAGGACCCUGGACUCUGACUACGCUCCGUUACAGCAGUUCUUCGUGGUCAUGGAGCACUGCCUCAAACAUGGACUCAAAACCAAGAAGACGUUCCUGGGGCAGAACAAGUCUUUCUGGGGGGCCCUGGAGCUGGUGGAGAAACUCACCCCUGAGGCUGGAGAGAUCACCGCCAGCGUCAAAGACCUGCCAGGACUCAAAACCCCAUUAGGAAGAGGGCGGGCCUGGCUGCGAUUGGCCCUGAUGCAGAAGAAGCUGUCAGAUUACAUGAAGACCAUCAUCAACAGAAAGGACCUGCUCAGUGAGUUCUACGAGUCCAACGCUCUCAUGAUGGAGGAGGAAGGAGCCGUGAUCGCCGGACUGCUGGUUGGGUUGAACGUCAUCGAUGCCAAUCUCUGUAUGAAGGGAGAAGACCUCGACUCACAGGUCGGGGUGAUAGAUUUCUCCAUGUAUCUUAAGGAUGGUCAAAGCAGCAAGACGGCAGAAGGGGAUGGCCAGAUCACAGCCAUCCUGGACCAGAAGAACUAUGUUGAGGAGCUAAACAGACACCUGAGUGCUUCAGUCAACAACCUGCAGGCCAAAGUAGACGCUAUGGAGAAGUCCAACACCAAGCUCACUGAAGAGCUUGCAGUAGCCAACAACAGGAUCAUCACCCUACAAGAGGAUGUAGAACGAGUCAAGGAGGAGUGCUCCAACCAGUCCAGUCGCAAGGCAUCGCGGGCAGGGGACAGCUUGGCAGACGGUCAGGUGCUGGGGGAGGCACGCAAACAGCUCAAGGAGGAAACACAGCUACGAUUGGAUGUAGAGAAGGAGUUGGAGGUUCAGAUUGGUAUGAAGCAGGAGAUGGAGCUGUCUAUGAAGAUGUUAGAGACGGAUAUGUGUGAGAAACAGGAUGCUCUGGUUGAGCUACGACAACAGCUAGAAGACCUCAGGUCCCUCAACCAGCAGCUAGCGCAGAAGUCCCAGAACUUGGAGGCGGGCGCCAAGCAGAAGAGUGAGGUCAUCAGUCGCUUGGAGGAGAAGACGAAUCAGAUGGCUGGAACUAUAAAACAGCUGGAGAGCAGAGGCCAUAUCACCGUAAAUGCUGAAUGGAGAUGUCGGAUUGACCAAUGCAGCGCCUUUAACAGUUCAAAUACCCCUGCUCUAUGCAGUCAAAAUGCAUCCCCCUUUCACUUAACAAAUCCAAUGUUAUUUGUCACAUACACGUGUUUUAGCAAUAAUUAGAAUAUAUGAAUAUUUGGACAAACAAUGUCUUAGCAGCAUAGACUAAGAAUAGAAUAGAAUACAGUUUUACAUAUGAGAUGAGUAAUGCAAGAUAUGUAAACAUUAUUAAAGUGACCAUUAUUAAAGUGACUAGUGUUCCAUUAUUAAAGUGGCCAGUGAUUACAAGUCUAUGUAUAUAGGGCAGCAGCCUCUAAUAUGCUAGUGAUGGCUAACAGUCUGAUGGCCUUGAUAGAAGCAGUCUCUCGGUCCCUGCUUUGAUGCACCUGUAUGUGUAGUCUUUAUCUGAGUCCCAGAAACCGGCCCAGAGUGAAUUAGGCUUUCUGGCUGUGUUCUGUUUUAGAUCCCACUGAAACAAAGCUCUUGACAGCCUCAGACCAGUGUGUUUAUCAGGUCUAGUCUGUCUAAUUAACCUCACUAAUGUGUUUAUCAGGUCUAGUCUGUCUAAUUAACCUCACUAAUGUGUUUAUCAGGUCUAGUCUGUCUAAUUAACCUCACUAAUGUGUUUAUCAGGUCUAGUCUGUCUAAUUAACCUCACUAAUGUGUUUAUCAGGUCUAGUCUGUCUAAUUAACCUCACUAAUGUGUUUAUCAGGUCUAGUCUGUCUAAUAAACCUCAGUCCAGUGUGUUUAUCAGGUCUAGUCUGUCUAAUUAACCUCACUAAUGUGUUUAUCAGGUCUAGUCUGUCUAAUAAACCUCACUAAUGUGUUUAUCAGGUCUAGUCUGUCUAAUUAACCUCACUAAUGUGUUUAUCAGGUCUAGUCUGUCUAAUAAACCUCACCAAUGUGUUUAUCAGGUCUAGUCUGUCUAAUUAACCUCACUAAUGUGUUUAUCAGGUUUAGUCUGUCUAAUUAACCUCACUAAUGUGUUUAUCAGGUCUAGUCUGUCUAAUUAACAUCACUAAUGUGUUUAUCAGGUCUAGUCUGUCUAAUUAACCUCAACAGUGUGUUUAUCAGGUCUAGUCUGUCUAAUAAACCUCACCAGUGUGUUUAUCAGGUCUAGUCUGUCUAAUUAACCUCACUAAUGUGUUUAUCAGGUCUAGUCUGUCUAAUUAACCUCACUAAUGUGUUUAUCAGGUCUAGUCUGUCUAAUAAACCUCAGUCCAGUGUGUUUAUCAGGUCUAGUCUGUCUAAUUAACCUCACUAAUGUGUUUAUCAGGUCUAGUCUGUCUAAUAAACCUCACUAAUGUGUUUAUCAGGUCUAGUCUGUCUAAUUAACCUCACUAAUGUGUUUAUCAGGUCUAGUCUGUCUAAUUAACCUCAGUCCAGUGUGUUUAUCAGGUCUAGUCUGUCUAAUUAACCUCACUAAUGUGUUUCACUGUCUAAUCAGGUUCUCUUCACAGGGAGUUACAGCCAGAUACUUUCCCUGCAAUAACUACUGUCUUCCUCUUCUUCUUUCUUCUCUCCAUUUCUUUCAUUUCUUGGUUCUCUUCUUCUCAGUGAGAAAGACUGUGUGAAGCAGGCCAGAAGCUUGAGUUCCAAUGCAGGGAAACUGCUUCAGAAGCAACUAUAGGACUCUCCUCUCUUCCCUUUCUCUUCCCACGAUGACACCCACAUCAUAGUUUCAGAAAUCUGAUUCCCAAUCGAAACAUAAAACCAACCUUUGCAUAAUAUAGAAGUGAAUAAGCUUGGGUAUUUAUUUUGAUAUGAUAUCUGUUGCGGUUAAACCUUUUCAUUUCUAACUGUUAAACAAUCUUUUGUUUCCUAAAACUAAACUCUCCUAAAACUAAACAGGUUUCCUGACAGCAUUACUUUGAUUAGCAGCAUGGACUGGAGACAGGCUAGAGGGGGCCAGAGAGAGACUGUCUUUCUGUUGUACUGAGACAGGCUAGAGGGGGCCAGAGAGAGACUGUCUUUCUGUUGUACUGAGACAGGCUAGAGGGGGCCAGAGAGAGACUGUCUUUCUGUUGUACUGAGACAGGCUAGAGGGGGCCAGAGAGAGACUGUCUUUCUGUUGUACUGAGACAGGCUAGAGGGGGCCAGAGAGAGACUAUCUUUCUGUUGUACUGACACAGGCUAGAGGGGGCCAGAGAGAGACUGUCUUUCUGUUGUACUGAGACAGGCUAGAGGGGGCCAGAGAGAGACUGUCUUUCUGUUGUACUGAGACAGGCUAGAGGGGGCCAGAGAGAGACUGUCUUUCUGUUGUACUGAGACAGGCUAGAGGGGGCCAGAGAGAGACUGUCUUUCUGUUGUACUGAGACAGGCUAGAGGGGGCCAGAGAGAGACUGUCUUUCUGUUGUACUGAGACAGGCUAGAGGGGGCCAGAGAGAGACUGUCUUUCUGUUGUACUGAGACAGGCUAGAGGGGGCCAGAGAGAGACUGUCUUUCUGUUGUACUGAGACAGGCUAGAGGGGGCCAGAGAGAGACUGUCUUUCUGUUGUACUGAGACAGGCUAGAGGGGGCCAGAGAGAGACUAUAUUUCUGUUGUACUGAGACAGGCUAGAGGGGGCCAGAGAGAGACUGUCUUUCUGUUGUACUGAGACAGGCUAGAGGGGGCGAGAGAGAGACUAUAUUUCUGUUGUACUGAGACAGGCUAGAGGGGGCCAGAGAGAGACUGUCUUUCUGUUGUACUGAGACAGGCUAGAGGGGGCCAGAGAGAGACUAUAUUUCUGUUGUACUGAGACAGGCUAGAGGACUGUUGGACUGGCAGUGCAGGGUGACUCCACUCACAGUACUACAUCUUUCUGUGUUAAUAAAGAUAUCAGACCCACAGCUGUAAUACAUGUUCCCUGAUAAGAAAGAGGUUUGGGAUGUCUGCCAUUUUAGUAAGAGAGAGGUUACUGUUCUGAAAACUCUAAAUAUUUGCUAAUUCUUGAACAUCAACACACCCAGACGCCCCCUACAGUGGCAUACCGUAGGUCCUUAGACCAGCCCAAUGCUACGUACAGCUUGUCCUUAGACCAUACAGACAUACGUGCUUAACCAGCCACUGAGCAGCCCUCUUUCUCACCCCAUGGUUAAUAAAGGUCUGGCCUCCUGCACCGUUAAGUGAUAAUGCCUGAGAAGCCCGUGUGUGGAGGACAUAUUGGCACGGGUGUUGUUAGGCCCGAGACGAAGUUGAGGCAAACCGGGCUUCUCAGGCAUUAUCACUUUUAUACAACAGGUUACCAACCUAUUCAAAUAACGAUUGACAUUUUCAUUAGCUUUAUUUUGAUAAAUGUAUUCAUACCGUUUCGUCUUUACACAAAUCUAGGGUUACUAUCCAAGCUGGCUGGUCGUUGGUUCUAUCAGUUCGGUUACCAGAGACGCGAACCAGUCCUUCAGUCGUUCUGUAUCUAUGGAUGCAACACAGUCGUUCGUUCUCAAUGUUCUAUUGACUGGCUUGGCAACGUUCUUGUCCUUUGCUUGCUAGCUAGCCAACUACGGCUAACUUAGUCACAUCAGAGUGCAGCCAGAUAACAGCAAAGUAGCUAGUAGUAGUAGUAGUUAGUAGUAGUUAGUAGUAGUAGUAGUUAGUAGUAGUAGUAGUAGUAGUAGUAGCUAGUAGUAGUAGCUAGUAGUAGUAGUAGUAGUAGUUAGUAGUAGUAGUAGUUAGUAGUAGUAGUAGUAGUAGUGUUAGUAGUAGUUAGUAGUAGUAGUAGUAGUAGUAGUAGUAGUAGUAGUAGUAGUAGUAGUAGUUAGUAGUAGUAGUAGUUAGUAGUAGUAGUAGUAGUAGUAGUAGUAGUUAGUAGUAGUAGUAGUAGUUUUCUAGUGACCGUUAUUUGAAUACAUUCAUAAGAAUUGGCAAAAGAAGCGCGAUUUCGCCUGGCAAGGAAAAUGUGCUCACUCAUCAGGACACUGUUGUUCAGAGGAGCUAGCCAAAAACACAGCGAACAUAAUCACUUCAAAAUGUAGCUGGAAAGACUGCGAACUAGCUGCACUUCGUUUGACCCGUUUUAUAUUCACAUUUGUUUGUAUAUAUCCAUAAGAAUCAUGCGGAUUCAUGACUUGGACUCCCUACACUUUCAUUACAAUGGGUCAGCUGGAGAUGGAAUUUCAAUAUUGAAACAAUGUUGCAAAUGUCAGAGAGACAGACAGCAAGGUCAGAGAGACAGACAGCAAGGUCAGAGAGACAGACAGCAAGGUCAGAGAGACAGACAGCAAGGUCAGAGAGACAGACAGCAAGGUUUAUUAAAUCUCCGCUGUUGAAAACCAAUUGCUAGUUUAAAAGAAGUGGGAGAUAAUGUCUUGAUGCUUUUUACAGUGGAGAUCGGGUUUAUAAAUUGCCUGGUUGGGCUGAUGAGACAGUGGAUUGGUGCAGUCAGAUGGAACAGAGUAAAUAAGCAUUUUAACGUCAUAGAUUUAACCGGUGGUAACUUGUGGAAUAGACACCGCCUGGAAUGUGGUUUUAACCAAUCAGCAUUUGGCCCAACCCUAAUGUCAUGGUACGGUAUAAAGUACCGUAGCAUAACAUCUGGACCAUACAGCACACACAGUUUGUAGCUGUGCUUCCUUCGCUAGUCUGACUCCAUACAGCUUUCUGUGGAACCAUGCUGUUGGCCACUCACUGCUGUAUGGAUCAGUGGCCUGGUCCCAGAUCAGUCUGUGCUGUAUGGAGCAGUAGCCUGGUCCCAGAUUAGUCUGUGCUGUAUGGAGCAGUAGCCUGGUCCCAGAUUAGUCUGUGCUGUAUGGAGCAGUAGCCUGGUCCCAGAUCAGUCUGUGCUGUAUGGAGCAGUGGCCUGGUCCCAGAUCAGUCUGUGCUGUAUGGAGCAGUAGCCUGGUCCCAGAUUAGUCUGUGCUGUAUGGAGCAGUAGCCUGGUCCCAGAUCAGUCUGUGCUAUAUGGAGCAGUGGCCUGGUCCCAGAUCAGUCUGUGCUGUAUGGAGCAGUAGCCUGGUCCCAGAUUAGUCUGUGCUGUAUGGAGCAGUAGCCUGGUCCCAGAUCAGUCUGUGCUGUAUGGAGCAGUGGCCUGGUCCCAGAUCAGUCUGUGCUGUAUGGAGCAGUAGCCUGGUCCCAGAUUAGUCUGUGCUGUAUGGAGC